rnacentral:tRNA from 1 species
AGAAGCUUAGGUUAACUAUAAACCUAGGACCUUCAAAGUCCUAAACAGAGACACACCCUCUAGCUCCUG